rnacentral:misc_RNA from 1 species
AAGUCGUAACAAGGUUUCCGUAGGUGAACCUGCGGAAGGAUCAUUAUCGAAUUUUGAAAGGGGUUGCUGCUGGUCUUUCGGGACAUGUGCACACUUCUCAUCCAUUCUUACACCUGUGCACCCUCUGUAGUUCUAUGGUCUGGGGGACCCUGUCUUCCUUCUGUGGUUCUACGUCUUUACACACACACUGUAAUAAAGUUUUAUGGAAUGUACAUCGCGUCUAACGCAAUACAAUACAACUUUCAGCAACGGAUCUCUUGGCUCUC